rnacentral:rRNA from 1 species
UACGAGAGCCUCAAGCGUUAUCCGGAAUUAUUGGGCGUAAAGGGUGUGUAGGCGGUAAUGUUAGUCUCAUGUCAAAGCCUGUCGCCAAACGACAGAUCCGCAUGGGAAACGGCAUAACUAGGAGGGUGCGAGAGGUGAAUGGAACUCACGGUGUAGGGGUGAAAUCCGUUGAUAUCGUGGGGAACGCCAAAAGCGAAGGCAAUUCACUGGCGCAUACCUGACGCUGAAACACGAAAGCGUGGGGAGCAAACAGG